UACGUAGGGUGCAAGCGUUGUCCGGAAUUAUUGGGCGUAAAGAGCUCGUAGGCGGUCUGUCGCGUCUGCUGUGAAAACUCAGGGCUUAACCCUGAGCUUGCAGUGGGUACGGGCAGACUAGAGUGCGGUAGGGGAGACUGGAAUCCCUGGUGUAGCGGUGAAAUGCGCAGAUAUCAGGAGGAACACCGGUGGCGAAGGCGGGUCUCUGGGCCGUACCUGACGCUGAGGAGCGAAAGCGUGGGGAGCGAACAGG
rnacentral:rRNA from 1 species